CCGCCACUGCCUCGCAGUUGCGAUGCGCGGACAGCGACGCGCGGUGACGCAACGCAGCGUUGCCAACUGUACGCCACUCACCGCUGCUGCGUCUACUUCGGCAACUUCAUGAUCUGCACACCACCAUACUUCGCACACCGACGUUCACCGACAGACCCACACACCGUUGAGGAACAUGUAGCUGUAGCUUCGACUCUCCGCAUUUUAAGAGGAACCAUCGUUUGUAUUAUUUAGACUUUUACGUAAUGCGGCAUUUAAACGAUUAUUUUAUUCCAUUGCGCGUAAAUGGAAAAGCUCUGAGUAAAUUAUAGGUUAGAAAUCGAUUUUGAUGGAAGGAAACCAAUGGAAAGUCCACGAUGAAAUCGCGCGACUCGUCGCUGUUGCGUUCUGGAGAUUCCAUCUCGUAUUUAUAUUCAGGCCAAAAUUUUGACAUACAGCUACUUUCUCGUGAGAUCGAACGAUACUCAGGUCGAAAACGAACGGCAACAUCUACGUGGUCAACAUCCGCCAUAAAUGGCUUCGUUUUCCAUUGGAGGUCACCGACAUGUAUAAUAUAUAUCGUGACGAAGGAGGACGAAGUCAAUAAGUUGCUCGACAUCCGAGACAGGAUUACAUCUGAUCGCUUUAAGGGAGUGUAUUCUUGUUAAUAUGGAUAUUUAUUAAAAGAGAAAUAGCAAAGAC